CCAAACUUGGUCAUUUAGAGGAAGUAAAAGUCGUAACAAGGUUUCCGUAGGUGAACCUGCGGAAGGAUCAUUAACAAAAUUGUUAUCCAUAUUCACCUUGUGUGCAAUUUUGCAUAAAAAUUAAUAAUGUCUUUUGGAAAAAUUAUUUUAUAGUAAUUUUUCCAAAGAGGUUAUUAUAAUCAAUAAAUUUUUUCUUUUCUUUAUUUAUGUCUAAAUCUAUAUAUAAAAUAAGAAAUAACUUUCAACAACGGAUCUCUUGGCUCUCGCAUCGAUGAAGAACGCAGC
rnacentral:misc_RNA from 1 species